rnacentral:misc_RNA from 1 species
GAUGAAGAACGCAGCGAAAUGCGAUACGUAAUGUGAAUUGCAGAAUUCAGUGAAUCAUCGAAUCUUUGAACGCAUAUUGCGCUCUCUGGUAUUCCGGAGAGCAUGCUUGUUUGAGUAUCAGUAAACACCUCAACUUCCAUAUCUUUUUUGAAAUGGGAGUUGGACUUGAGUGAUCCCAACGCUUUUCCUCACCGAAAAGUGGCGGGUUACUUGAAAUGCAGGUGCAGCUGGACUUUUCUCUGAGCUAUAAGCAUAUCUAUUUAGUCUGCCUAAAAAACAGAUUAUUACCUUUGCUGCAGCUAACAUAAAGGAGAUUAGUUCUUGUGCUGACUGAUGCAAGAUUCACAAAGACAGGCUUCGGCCGACUUUGUAAACUCGAUCUCAAAUCAAGUAAGACUACCCGCUGAACUUAAGCAUAUCAAUAAGCGGAGGA